AGAGAAAGGAGAGAGAGAACGCAGAGGGAGGGAGGCAGGGAGGGAGACCAAACCCCCGCUUUACUGCGUUGAAAGCUUCUGAAUUUCAAGCAGAAAGUAGAAGGAGCUCCAAAGGCAGUGAGCGUCUUUCCUUGGGCUGCGUGUGCCGAGCGUAGACAAUGAAAAUCUUCAUCCCCCUCCCCCAUUCUACUAGGCUACAAGAUUCUUGUUUUCGUUCCUUCUCACCGGUGGAAGAUGUGUAAAAUCAAAGAUGUAGAGGUGUGUAGUGAUUUUUUUAAAAGCCAACUAACCACCGCACGGACUGCGACGCGGAUUACCCGAGCGCACGCCGGCUGGGCGCAUUCUGGGGUCUCUGCGCAAGACCAGCUCUCAGCUCUCUCUCCUUUCCUCGGACUCUGGAGCGGGAGCGGGCCUUUCCCUCGGGUCGACCACGCCGUAGGGGACGCCGUGAAAAGAGCCGUCGCGCCCGCUGCCUCCUGCCCGCUGCGCAGAGGGCUCCGCCCGUAGAGGUCAACUUCCCUCACCCUUUUCUCUCUCCUGCUUGCCCUCCCUCCGCCCGGCCCAGGCGCUUCCAGCCCCAGACUGUGGCCACUGGCUGAGGAGUGCGAGUCGGCUGCGCUGCCCUGAGCCUAAUCCCUCUUCCGGGCCCAGACCCGAGGUCCGCGCUCCUGGGCAGUGGGGAAGCUUUAGUGAGCAGGCUUUUCUCUCCGCAGCAAACUUGUAGCCAGACCAGAUGGGCCGCCCAGCUCUCUCGGGACUAGGCAGGUGCGGAUGAGUUAAUUUUUCCGCAUUACAAAGAAAGAUGACCCAGCCCGCCCUUGGACUCUCUUUUCCCAAAAUCUCCCAACCAAACCCGCGGUAACGUUAUCAAAGGACACAGAGCCCAGGCAUAUCUGUGUGUUUAUCUUACAGGCACACACGCAUGGUUUUCUCUUUUAUAUGCUAGAUUUCAUCCCUGACAGCAGAAAAUGAUUGGCAAUGGUUAUGACGGAGAACAUGCAAUAGCGUGGUCCUUAAAAACCUGCCAUUCCUUACAAGUGCCUUAGAAAGGAUUCAGGGCGAACCAACUGGGUUAAUUGCAUUCAGUAAAAUAACACGAUUACAA
rnacentral:lncRNA from 1 species